UUCAACGUGACGGGCGUCCUGCUAUACCAAAACGCACUCAACAAGAGCAACUGCUGCAUUGGCAGCGAAAUAGGAGGAUGCUUGCUUAUUCUACUGCUGGCACACCUGAUUAUAUCGCUCCCGAAGUUUUGCUGAAGAAGGGAUACUGUUGGUGCACUUACGUCUGCUGACUACGUCUUCCAUCGAGUCUUGAAGUUGAACAGAUCGGACAUGGCACGGAAACCUAGAAAUACAUGUUUGUAUAGGGUUCGCUUAUCAGUCACUAGGUUUGGUCCGCUUUUGUGUCAUGUUUAAGUUAGGAUCGCUCAUGUGUCACGAUGUAGGACCGCUUAUACGUACAUGUACGUAUAAGCGAACCAGGAUGUCUAUAAAUAGGUCCAUAUGAGCGAGUCUGAAACACAUAGUUGAAGGUGUUUGUUUCGGUAUGCUGCCGAAGUGCUGUCAAAUCUUGUAAUCGUGCAUUUGAUCAAUAAUACAGCAAUAUUAAAGUGAAUAC
rnacentral:lncRNA from 1 species